AGAUGUGAAAGACCCGGGGCGUCAAACCUACCGGAAUAGCAUUUGUAAACUAGGCAGACUAGAGUACUGUAGAGGGGGGUAGGAAUUUCAGGUGUAGCGGUGAAAUGCGUAGAGAUCUGAAGGAAUACCGGUGGCGAAGGCGGCCCCCUCGGACAGAUACUGACACUCAGAUGCGAAAGCGUGGGGAGCAAACAGGAUUAGAUACCCCUGGUAG
rnacentral:rRNA from 1 species